CCUACGGGGGGCAGCAGUGAGGAAUAUUGGUCAAUGGACGAGAGUCUGAACCAGCCAAGUAGCGUGCAGGAUGACUGCCCUAUGGGUUGUAAACUUCUUUUAUAUGGGAAUAAAAUGUUCCACGUGUGGGAUUUUGUAUGUACCAUAUGAAUAAGGAUCGGCUAACUCCGUGCCAGCAGCCGCGGUAAUACGGAGGAUCCGAGCGUUAUCCGGAUUUAUUGGGUUUAAAGGGAGCGUAGGUGGAUUGUUAAGUCAGUGGUGAAAGUUUGCGGCUCAACCGUAGAAUUGCAGUUGAAACUGGCAGUCUUGAGUACAGGAGAGGUAGGCGGAAUUCGUGGUGUAGCGGUGAAAUGCUUAGAUAUCACGAAGAACUCCGAUUGCGAAGGCAGUUCACUGGACUGCAACUGACACUGAGGCUCGAAAGUGUGGGUAUCAAACAGGAUUAGAUACCCUAGUAGUC
rnacentral:rRNA from 1 species